AGCUUCCGGAGCAGCUGGGACUGCUGGCGCCCGCCACUACGCUCGGCUAAUUUUUUUGUGUUUUUAGUAGAGACGGGCUUUCACCGUGUUGGCCUAGCGGUUCUCCAACUCCUGACCUCAUGAUCCCCCCGCCUCAGCCUCCCAAAGUGCUGGGAUUACAAGCGUGAGCCACCGCGACCCGCCAACACUCUUGACAACAGUGCUGUGCUAAGAACUUGGGGGACUUCAAAAAGUUCACCAGUUCCUGUGUCCAUGGGUGAAAAGAUUUUCUACAUCUUUCCUUGACUAGAAACAGAAGUCCUGAAACAAGAAUAUAACGUCAGGAGGCCAGAGGCUUUGUCCUGCCUAAUGUGUUAUUUCCACACUGAAUAAAAGCACCUGAGUCCUGACUAAAAGCUUAAUGCUAUACAGACUUUGGGUUGGUGGAGUUACUUGAGGAUUUACUCCAGCAAAACAAAAAAAAGAAUGAAAGAAAGAGAAAGAUAAAAAUAUGAAAGAAGCAACAGACCUAUUCCAGAAAUGUAAUGAAAAAAGGCCACGAAGUUUGACAACUAUGUAUUAAAUUUACAAUCAGUCCAAAUUAGACUGGUAGUCAGAUUGAUAUGAGAAGUACAUUUUCAAAAAGAUGUACUAUACCAAAUAAUAUGAGUGCAAAACUCUGGAUGAUUUUAGUAAUAAUGUGAAGACACAUAUUUCUUUUGACAAUUAAAAAAAAGAAAAUGAAUUGGAAACUUCAGGAAACGUCAGAAAAUACAAAAUGCUCUGUAGGAAGUAAUUGUCUAAAUGAGAGGUGAAGCCAGUGGGACUUCCUGGAUUGGAUGGGGACUUGGAGAACUUUUCUGUCUAGCUAAAGGAUUGUAAACACACCAAUCAGUGCUCUGUGUCUAGCUAAAGGAUCGCAAAUGCACCAAUCAGCACUCUGUAAAAAUUCUGUGUCUAGCUAAAGGUUUGUAAAUGCACCAAUCAGCAAUCUGUUAGAAUGCACCAAUCAGUGCUCUGUGUCUAGCUAAAGGUUUGUAGAUGCACCAAUCAGCACUCUGUAAAAACGCAUCAAUCAGCGUUCUGUGUCUAGCUAAAGGUUUGUAGACACAUCAAUCAGCACUCAGUAAAAACGCACCAAUCAGCACUCUGUAAAAUGGACCAGUCAGCGCUCUGUAAAAUGGACCAAUCAGCAGGAUGUGGGCGGAGCCAAUAAGGGAAUAAAAGCUGGCCACCAGAGCCAGCCAGUGGCAACCUGCUUGGGUCCCCUUCCACCCUGUGGAAGCUUUAUUCUUUUGCCCUUCACAAUAAAUCUUGCUGCUGCUUACUCUUUGGGUCUACAUUACCUUUAUGAGCUGUAUCGCUCACCAUGAGGGUCUGCGGCUUCACUCCUGAGGUCAGCGAGACCACGAACCCACUGGGAGGAACAAACAACUCCAGAAGCACAACCUUUAAGAGCUGUAACACUCACUGUGAAGGUCUGUGGCUUCACUCCUGAAGUCAGCGAGACCACGAACCCACCAGAAGGAAGAAACUCCGGACACAUCUGAAAUCUGAAGAAACAAACUCUGGACACACCAUCUUUAAGAACUGUAACACUCACUGCGAGGGUCCCCGACUUCAUUCUUAAAGUCAGUGAGACCAAGAACCCACUGGAAGGAACCAAUUCUGGGCACAUAAAUAUGCAGCAAAAUACAAUAUGGUAUGAUUUUGAGCAAUUGAUGAAUAUGUAGAAAAAUUAUUCAAUCCUGAUGUUUGAAAUAUGCUACUUUGAGUAGCAGCCUUGUAGUGACCUAAAUGUAUUUCUGUAGAUAAAAUUGAACUAUGUGGUACUAUAGUGAAUAAUGUGUGUUACAAUAUAAUAGCAUGCACAAUUGUAUAUAUGAAGUUUAGAACACUUCUACAUUUUAAUAUCUGUAAUAUGAUUAUACUCAUAUAUGUGUACUCAGAUUUUAAAACAUAAUAAAAUAUAAAUGUUAUUAUUGUC
rnacentral:lncRNA from 1 species